rnacentral:pre_miRNA from 1 species
AUCUGCAUUGCCUGGGAAACUUGUUGAGGUACAGAGUCUGAUUCAGAAAAUCUGGGUUAUGCCAUUUCUAAAAAGCUGCCAGGUGAUGCCGAA